rnacentral:tRNA from 1 species
GGGCGGUUAGCUCAGCUGGUUAGAGCGUCAGUUUUACACACUGAAGGUCACAGGUUCGAACCCUGUACCGCCCA